ACGCUCGACACCUACGUGAGGCAGCAGUGGGGAAUAUUGCACAAUGGGGGAAACCCUGAUGCAGCGACGCCGCGUGAGUGAAGAAGUAUUUCGGUAUGUAAAGCUCUAUCAGCAGGGAAGAAGAUGACGGUACCUGAGUAAGAAGCCCCGGCUAACUACGUGCAGCAGCCGCGGUAAUCUGAGGCGGGCUGGCAAGGC
rnacentral:rRNA from 1 species